AGCACAACCAGCAGGAGGAACACACAAAUUAAGAUUUCUUCUGCACUUGAGGAAUGAGAAGGCCAGCAUCUCUUCUCCAGGUUUCUUGUAGCUUUCUCCUCUAUCACUCCACCAAAAUGCCACAGCAAAUUCUCUGGCAUAAGCUCAGUGUCUCAAAGAAAUAGACCCUACAGAUUCAACACUCAAACAAAGCACCCCACUUCCUACAAAUAUUCAUUGAAGACAGUAGGGGGAAAAAGGAAGAGAAGGAGGAAGCCCUUCUGCCUCAAUCAAUGAUACUGCUUUUUAACAAUGAGGGAGGACACCAUCACCUCUUACAACAAAAAGGGAGGGGAAAUUUGUAUACCUCUGGAUGAACAGCAGUACUAAAGCAUUUAGCCAUGAGGCCACUGUAUCAUGAACAACAAUACAGAGUGAUAUAUAUUUUUCAAAUUUACAUGUUUGCACUGCUCAUAUGAGAAUCCUUAUGUGGACAGAUAUUUUUUUCAAAAAGCCAGUCUGGCUCAUUUAACUCCUUCA